rnacentral:rRNA from 1 species
GAUGAACGCUGGCGGCGUGCCUAAUACAUGCAAGUCGAGCGAAUGACGAGGAGCUUGCUCCUCUGAUUUAGCGGCGGACGGGUGAGUAACACGUGGGCAACCUGCCUGUAAGACGGGGAUAACUCCGGGAAACCGGAGCUAAUACCGGAUGAUAACGAGAAGCGCCUGCUUCUUUUUUGAAAGUCGGUUUCGGCUGACGCUUACAGAUGGGCCCGCGGCGCAUUAGCUAGUUGGUGAGGUAACGGCUCACCAAGGCGACGAUGCGUAGCCGACCUGAGAGGGUGAUCGGCCACACUGGGACUGAGACACGGCCCAGACUCCUACGGGAGGCAGCAGUAGGGAAUCUUCGGCAAUGGACGAAAGUCUGACCGAGCAACGCCGCGUGAGCGAUGAAGGCCUUCGGGUCGUAAAGCUCUGUUGUCAGAGAAGAACAAGUACCGGAGUAACUGCCGGUACCUUGACGGUACCUGACCAGAAAGCCAUGGCUAACUACGUGCCAGCCGCCGCCGUAACAC